rnacentral:rRNA from 1 species
AGCGAACGUUAGCGGCGCGCCUAACACAUGCAAGUCGCACGAGAAAGGGCUUCGGCCCCGGUAAAGUGGCGCACGGGUGAGUAACACGUGGGCAACCUGCCCAACCCUGGGGGAUAACCUGCCGAAAGGCGGGCUAAUACCGCGUACGAGGGCUCGACUUCGGUCGGGUUCUGAAAGCAGGCCUCUGUAUACAAACUUGUGGGGUUGGAUGGGCCCGCGCUCCAUCAGCUAGUUGGUGAGGUAACGGCUCACCAAGGCUACGACGGAUAGCUGGUCUGAGAGGAUGAUCAGCCACACUGGAACUGAGACACGGUCCAGACUCCUACGGGAGGCAGCAGUGGGGAAUCUUGCGCAAUGGACGAAAGUCUGACGCAGCGACGCCGCGUGGGUGACGAAGGCCUUCGGGUUGUAAAGCCCUGUGGGGUGAGACGAACAGCUGGGGUUCAAAUAGGGCCUUGGUCUGACGGUAUCACCUUAGCAAGCACCGGCUAACUCUGUGCCAGCCGCCGCAGUAAGAC